GCCCCUAUAGCUCAGAUGGAUAGAGCAGUGGUUUCCUAAACCAUGUGGCCGUGUUCGAGUCGCGGUAGGGGCACCA
rnacentral:tRNA from 1 species